rnacentral:rRNA from 1 species
GUGUCAGCCGCCGCGGUAAUACAGAGGGUGCGAGCGUUAAUCGGAAUUACUGGGCGUAAAGGGCGCGUAGGUGGUUAAUUAAGUCAGAUGUGAAAUCCCUGGGCUUAACCUAGGAAUUGCAUUUGAAACUGAUUGGCUAGAGUAUGGGAGAGGGAAGUGGAAUUUCCGGUGUAGCGGUGAAAUGCGUAGAUAUCGGAAGGAACACCAGUGGCGAAGGCGACUUCCUGGCCCAUUACUGACACUGAGGCGCGAAAGCGUGGGGAGCGAACAGGAUUAGAUACCCUGGUAGUCCACGCCGUAAACGAUGAGAACUAGAUGUUAGGGGGCUUAGACCUCUUAGUAUCGCAGCAAACGCGUUAAGUUCUCCGCCUGGGGAGUACGGCCGCAAGGUUAAA